UUUCUAUGAAGAUAACUUUGACCAGUUCUGCUACUGAGUGCAAGUGAUGUUAUUGUAGUCUCCUGAGA